AGCGAAAGUUGUACUAAUACCGCAUGAGACCACGGGUAGACAUCUACCAGGGGUCAAAGGAGCAAUCCGGUAAGGGGUGGGCUCGCGUCCGAUUAGAUAGUUGGUGAGGUAACGGCCCACCAAGUCGACGAUCGGUAGCCGACCUGAGAGGGUGAUCGGCCACAUUGGGACUGAGACACGGCCCAAACUCCUACGGGAGGCAGCAGUGGGGAAUAUUGGGCAAUGGGGGAAACCCUGACCCAGCAACGCCGCGUGAGGGAAGAAGGUUUUCGGAUCGUAAACCUCUGUCCUUGGUGAAGAGGAAGAGACGGUAGCCAAGGAGGAAGCCCCGGCUAACUACGUGCCAGCAGCCGCGGUAAUACGUAGGGGGCGAGCGUUGUCCGGAAUGAUUGGGCGUAAAGGGCGCGUAGGCGGCCCGGUAAGUCUGGAGUGAAAGUCCUGCUUUUAAGGUGGGAAUUGCUUUGGAUACUGUCGGGCUUGAGUGCAGGAGAGGUAAGUGGAAUUCCCAGUGUAGCGGUGAAAUGCGUAGAGAUUGGGAGGAACACCAGUGGCGAAGGCGACUUACUGGACUGUAACUGAC
rnacentral:rRNA from 1 species